UACAGAGGUCCCGAGCGUUGUUCGGAUUCACUGGGCGUAAAGGGUGCGUAGGUGGUGGGGUAAGUCUCGUGUGAAAGCUCGCAGCUUAACUGCGAAAAGUCACGGGAUACUAUCCGGCUAGAGGCUUGGAGGGGGGACUGGAAUACUUGGUGUAGCAGUGAAAUGCGUAGAUAUCAAGUGGAACACCUGAGGUGAAGACGGGUUGCUGGGCCAACACUGACGCUGAGGCGCGAAAGCCAGGGGAGCAAACGGG
rnacentral:rRNA from 1 species